rnacentral:tRNA from 1 species
AUAUAAAAAGCGAAGAACAUCGCGUACGGUUUCGGCCCGUAUUUUGGGAGUGAGAGUCUCUCUUUAUAUU